CCUACGGUGUGCAGCAGUGAGGAAUAUUGGUCAAUGGCCGUAAGGCUGAACCAGCCAAGUAGCGUGAGGGAUGACUGCCCUAUGGGUUGUAAACUUCUUUUAUAAAGGAAUAAAACGAGGCACGUGUGCCUUUUUGCAUGUACUUUAUGAAUAAGGAUCGGCUAACUCCGUGCCAGCAGCCGCGGUAAUACGGAGGAUCCGAGCGUUAUCCGGAUUUAUUGGGUUUAAAGGGAGCGUAGAUGGGUUGUUAAGUCAGUUGUGAACGUUUGCGGCUCAACCGUAAAAUUGCAAUUGAUACUGGCAGUCUUGAGUACAGUUGAGGUAGGCGGAAUUCGUGGUGUAGCGGUGAAAUGCUUAGAUAGCACGAAGAACCCCGAUUGCGAAGGCAGCUUACUAAACUGUGACUGACAUUGAUGCUCGAAAGUGUGGGUAUCAAACAGGAUUAGAUACCCCUGUAGUC
rnacentral:rRNA from 1 species